GACGAACGCUGGCGGCGUGCUUAACACAUGCAAGUCGAACGGUAAGGCCCUUCGGUGUACACUAUUGGCGAACGGGUGAGUAACACGGUGGUAAUCUGCCCUGCACUUCGUGAUAAGCCUGGGAAACUGGGUCUAAUACCGUAUAUUCAGUUCCUGCCGCAUGGUGGGGGGUGGAAAGUUUUUCGGUGCAGGAUGAGCCCGCUGCCUAUCAGCUUGUUGGUGGGGUAAUGGCCUACCAAGGCAACGACUGGUAGCCGGCCGGAGAGGGUGAUCGGCCACAAUGGGCCUGAGAGACGGCCCAGACGCCUACGGUAGGCAGCAGUGGGGAAUCUUGCACAAUGGGCGCACGCCUGAUGCAGAGACGCCGCGUGCGGGAUGACGGUCUUCGGAUUGAAAACACCUUUCAGUAGGGACGUAGAGCACGUGACGGUACCUAAAGAAGAAGCAACGGCCAACUACGUG
rnacentral:rRNA from 1 species